rnacentral:SRP_RNA from 1 species
UGCUGGUCCCUAGCAAUAAUUUUUUACGAAUCCCGCCAGGCCCGGAAGGGAGCAACGGUAGUAAUAUUUUUAUGUACUAGACAAGGCUGGCAAGG